rnacentral:rRNA from 1 species
GAUGAACGCUGGCGGCGUGCUUAACACAUGCAAGUCGAGCGAAGCAGUUAUGCGGAAGUUUUCGGAUGGAAGGGUAAUUGACUGAGCGGCGGACGGGUGAGUAACGCGUGGGGAACCUGCCUCAUACAGGGGAAUAACAGCUAGAAAUGGCUGCUAAUGCCGCAUAAGCGCACAGUGUCGCAUGACACGGUGUGAAAAACUCCGGUGGUAUGAGAUGGUCCCGCGUCUGAUUAGGCAGUUGGCGGGGUAACGGCCCACCAAACCGACGAUCAGUAGCCGACCUGAGAGGGUGACCGGCCACAUUGGGACUGAGACACGGCCCAA